rnacentral:rRNA from 1 species
UUGACCUCGAAUCAGGUAGGAAUACCCGCUGAACUUAAGCAUAUCAAUAAGCGGAGGAAAAGAAACCAACCGGGAUC